GAUGAACGCUGGCGGCGUGCUUAACACAUGCAAGUCGAACGGAAAGGCCCAAGCUUGCUUGGGUACUCGAGUGGCGAACGGGUGAGUAACACGUGGGUGAUCUGCCCUGCACUUCGGGAUAAGCCUGGGAAACUGGGUCUAAUACCGGAUAGGACGAUGUGUUGGAUGCCAUUGUGGAAAGUUUUUUCGGUGUGGGAUGAGCUCGCGGCCUAUCAGCUUGUUGGUGGGGUAAUGGCCUACCAAGGCGUCGACGGGUAGCCGGCCUGAGAGGGUGUACGGCCACAUUGGGACUGAGAUACGGCCCAGACUCCUACGGGAGGCAGCAGUGGGGAAUAUUGCACAAUGGGCGCAAGCCUGAUGCAGCGACGCCGCGUGGGGGAUGACGGCCUUCGGGUUGUAAACUCCUUUCGCUAGGGACGAAGCGUUUUUGUGACGGUACCUGGAGAAGAAGCACCGGCUAACUACGUG
rnacentral:rRNA from 1 species